CCGCCGCCGCUCUCUCGGCGUCAGCGCCAUCUUCCCGGGUGAGUGUUGGUGCCUGUUGUGUCCGGAUUUCGUGCACAAUCCAUUAACAUCUGAUCUCUGCACUUGCCAUCAUUACAGCAAACUAAUUGUAGCCUUUCUCUCUUUACCUGUAGAGACCUCUGCGCCAUGAGAGCCAAGUGGAGGAAGAAGCGAAUGCGCAGGCUGAAGCGUAAAAGAAGAAAGAUGAGGCAGAGGUCCAAGUAAACCGCUAGCUUGUGCACGCAUGGAGCCACGGGAGCAGAGAUCAGGGAAGCCAGAGGCCAGGGACGCUGGGACCAGUUGUUGGACUGCAUGCCUCCUUUCUAGAGCUUGAUACAGUGUAUCUAGAACAUCCAUCGCCAUCUGAUCGCGACAACCACCUUUGAGAGACCGGACUUGAUCAUCCCCAAACCGUCCCUCCUUGGUCCUUUGCCCUGGACCUGUUACUUUCGGGACUAAUUCUGUUUUCGUUUGUGGCUGAAUGUAACGUGUACAAUAAAUCAUCUCUUCUGCUGUCUUAGCUGAAGAAAAAAAAAAAACAAAAACAA